UGGUAGCAUCUGAAACUCAUGUUCAUUUUCUCUGGAACCAUGUUGAUUCAUGUUCAUUUUCUCUUCUCAGUCGUGCUUCUAAUCUUCAUCUAGUUGAGGGUAAACUAUAUUUGCUGCUUCUUGGGACCACAGCUCUUAGUCUGUCUUGCAGAUUUUAAAAUGCUGUGAACAUGGCAAUAUACACAUAUAGUUGAUAAACUUGGUGCAAAGAAAUGG